GUCACUGUUGAGCAAUGGAUAGCUCGUUGGACUUCUAAUCCAAAGGCCGUGGUUUCGAAUCCCACCUGGGAUGGACU
rnacentral:tRNA from 1 species